rnacentral:ncRNA from 2 species
CACUGUCGCCAGGGGAGCCACGUUGUGUGGCUGAGAAUGCUAUGACGCAGACCCUGGAACCUGAACCGGUUAGUACCGGCGGAGGAAGUGCGACAUGCCAUACCU